rnacentral:rRNA from 1 species
GAUGAACGCUGGCGGCGUGCCUAAUACAUGCGAGUCGAGCGAACAGACGAGGAGCUUGCUCCUCUGACGUUAGCGGCGGACGGGUGAGUAACACGUGGAUAACCUACCUAUAAGACUGGGAUAACUUCGGGAAACCGGAGCUAAUACCGGAUAAUAUAUUGAACCGCAUGGUUCAAUAGUGAAAGACGGUUUUGCUGUCACUUAUAGAUGGAUCCGCGCCGCAUUAGCUAGUUGGUAAGGUAACGGCUUACCAAGGCAACGAUGCGUAGCCGACCUGAGAGGGUGAUCGGCCACACUGGAACUGAGGCACGGUCCAGACUCCUACGGGAGGCAGCAGUAGGGAAUCUUCCGCAAUGGGCGAAAGCCUGACGGAGCAACGCCGCGUGAGUGAUGAAGGUCUUCGGAUCGUAAAACUCUGUUAUUAGGGAAGAACAAAUGUGUAAGUAACUAUGCACGUCUUGACGGUACCUAAUCAGAAAGCCACGGCUAACUACGUG